CAGGCCUAACACAUGCAAGUCGAACGAGACCUUCGGGUCUAGUGGCGCACGGGUGCGUAACGCGUGGGAAUCUGCCCUUGGGUUCGGAAUAACAGCGAGAAAUUGCUGCUAAUACCGGAUGAUGACGUAAGUCCAAAGAUUUAUCGCCCAGGGAUGAGCCCGCGUAGGAUUAGCUAGUUGGUGGGGUAAAGGCCUACCAAGGCGACGAUCCUUAGCUGGUCUGAGAGGAUGAUCAGCCACACUGGGACUGAGACACGGCCCAGACUCCUACGGGAGGCAGCAGUGGGGAAUAUUGGACAAUGGGCGAAAGCCUGAUCCAGCAAUGCCGCGUGAGUGAUGAAGGCCCUANGGUUGUAAAGCUCUUUUACCCGGGAUGAUAAUGACAGUACCGGGAGAAUAAGCUCCGGCUAACUCCGUGCCAGCAGCCGCGGUAAU
rnacentral:rRNA from 1 species